UAUCUCUGUAGAGUCUGAUAUCAAUAAGCGGAGGAAAAGAAACUAACAAGGAUUCCCUUAGUAACGGCGAGUGAAGCGGGAAGAGCUCAAAUUUGAAAUCUUCAAGGUUUUACCUUGACGAAUUGUAGUUUAAAGAAGUGUUUUCUGUUGAAGUUUUGGUAAAAGUUCUUUGGAAUAGGACAUCAUAGAGGGUGAGAAUCCCGUAUUUGACCAUUAUUUCAGCUGUGUGAUACACUUUCAAAGAGUCGGAUUGUUUGGGAAUGCAGUCCAAAAUGGGUGGUAAAUUUCAUCUAAAGCUAAAUAUUGGCGAGAGACCGAUAGCGAACAAGUACCGUGAGGGAAAGAUGAAAAGAACUUUGAAAAGAGAGUUAAACAGUACGUGAAAUUGUCAAAAGGGAAGCGUUUGACACCAGUGUUGUUUUCUCGAAAAUCAAUUAAAAAAAGUUGGAUUUUGUAUUGUAUAGACCUUAUCAGCUUACUGUACUCUUUUCCUUGUCUUUUUUAAUGCACUUUUCGUUUAACAAGUCAACAUCAAUUUCUUUUGUUGUAAAAGAGUCAUUGGAGGGUGGCUUUCACUUCGGUGAAAGUGUUUAUAGCCUUUGGCUUCUGCAAUCGGAGAGAUUGAGGUCUGCAGCGUAGAUCCUUCGGGGCUAGAUACGUAGAUGCUAAGUUAUAGUUUUUUAUAGACAACUUGUUGACUAUAAUUAAUCAUGUAGCUUACUCGUUUGCGCUAUUUUACCUACGCUUAGGAUGUUGAUCUGUAGUGCGUGCGC
rnacentral:rRNA from 1 species